rnacentral:tRNA from 1 species
GGGGUUGUGGCUCAGUGGCAGAGCUCUUGCCUAGCAUGCAUGAGGCACUGGGUUCGAUCCUCAACACCA